UAAAUCCAUGCCAUGUUGCAGAGAGUUC
rnacentral:piRNA from 2 species